rnacentral:lncRNA from 1 species
ACUACGAGACGAUCAAGCGCAUAUGGGAAUUAGGCCUGCCGGAUCUCUGGCCAGAUCAAACUUCUUUGGAAAAUUAGCAUCUGUAGUGAGAGGGCGCUGUUUCGCAAAUUUAAAUGACCCGGUACAUAUUUUACUGCUUUUAUUUCCGCAUCCGUUUUAGUCCCCGCCUCCCGCUAGUCCCGCUCUACGCGACGCCGCGGCAGCCAUUGCUCAUAUUCUCAUAUCAAAUAUCGAUUGUCGAUUUGAUUUUUCGCUUGCGAAUUUCCAAAUUAUUUGAGUUGUAUUAGCAAUAUUAUGUGUGUUUAAGUGAUCACUAAUAUCCUAUAUAUUGCGCGAAUUACCCAGAGACCAACAUGGGAACAAGGCCUAUAUUUCGCUCAAGAAAAAUGUUGUAUUGAUAGAUCUAUGGAGGAAAUAACAAAGAUGAGUCCAGAAUUUAGCCAAAAUGCAUAAUUUUCCAAAAAUACUGAAAAACCAAAAAUAUGACAAGAAUCUUUGAAAAUAUAACACAAUGCCUUUUGUAAUUAUGUUGUUUUGUGAUGAUAGUAAAAUUUGGUUGAUAUAAAACUGAAACAUAACUAUUCCUGCUCUAUGAAUGACUCUGUGAUAACGUUACCCAGGAUUUAACUAAUUCAGCAUAAUCAGGUUUCGCUAGACAAGAGAAAUAUAUGACCAUGAAAGUGUAUAGAAGAUAGGCCUGAAAAUAAUAAUAUUCACUGUUAAAAUAAAAUAAAAGUGAUUCAAGUUAUAAAAGAACUAACCAGUGUAGAAAAUUCACUUUCAAAAAGAAAACAUAAAAAUGGUUGUACAGUUAAAGUGGAAUGAACUGAUAUUUUUAUAGAAACAGAACAAAACUACUAAAGGGAAACGAGGUGAAGAGCUGUAUGACAGAUGAAUCCGUCACUUGUCUUGUGGAAAACAUGCUUUUCUUAUGGUUAAGAAGUGGUAUAUCAUCUUCAUGUUCUUUCAUAAUUGAAGCACCAUCAUUGUGUAUCAUGUAGAAAAACUGCCGACAUUCAUAGGAAAUGUCAGUCACAAAAUCUGAAAUAUAGGGUAAAGGAGCCUCACUGCAACUUCUGAUAAGACUAUCAGAGAGGAUAAUAUACAAUCAGAGAGGGUAAAACAUAAAGAACGGACUAUCUGUGAUUUCAAGAUAGUGAAAAUUCACACAAGAAUAUCUAUAUACUUAUUUACCUUAUGAGUCUAUACCCAACAGAAAAAUAAAAGUGCUAGUAGAUAGUGGGAUAAAUUUAAAGGAUAAUAUAAUAUUAACUCAAAAAUUAGGUGAACUAUGUUCUAAAACAAAUUGCAGCACCAUCAGGGUUAACAUAAACAUAUGUCAUCAAACAAAUAUACACUCUUCAGUUUUUAGAGCAACAUGACCAAGAAGCAAUUGUAGGAUAGUAUUGAAAAGGAAUAUGCACUCCUAAGGAAAAUGACAUGGGGAUGGACACAGGAUAAAAAUUUGUCAAUGUAUUGAAAAGUUUUCUUUGGAAGGAGUUUCGGAUGCGGCCACGUUGUUUCGCCGUGCUGAAUGUUUGUGUUUCCACGUGGACCCUAACGUGCGUUAAGCAUAUGGCACGUAAAGCUUUUUCCCUGAUGUCAUGGUUUUUUCAUAUGAAAAAAGGCGGAUAUUCCAUUUUUUACUGUUUUUUUACUGCAACAUUUGUAUCUCAAAUGUUUGUUUUAUUUCCUUGUACCAUUUAUUUAUUAUUAUGUUUAUUUAAAAUUAUCAUUUUAUUGUAACAUAUUUGAAAAUAUUAUUUUUUUAUCUCUUAAUAAAUAAUUUAAUUCUUA